UACGUAGGGUGCGAGCGUUGUCCGGAAUUAUUGGGCGUAAAGGGCUCGUAGGCGGCCAACUAAGUCAGACGUGAAAUCCCUCGGCUUAACCGGGGAACUGCGUCUGAUACUGGAUGGCUUGAGAUUGGGAGAGGGAUGCGGAAUUCCAGGUGUAGCGGUGAAAUGCGUAGAUAUCUGGAGGAACACCGGUGGCGAAGGCGGCAUCCUGGACCAACACUGACGCUGAGUGAGCGAAAGCCAGGGGAGCAAACGGG
rnacentral:rRNA from 1 species